AGACUUGGUCGUAGAGCCACGACCAACUGGGGCAUCACCCCUUAAACUAAAGAAAGCUCACUGAGA
rnacentral:ncRNA from 1 species